rnacentral:rRNA from 1 species
AUUGAACGCUGGCGGCAGGCCUAACACAUGCAAGUCGAACGAGCGGCGGACGGGUGAGUAAUGUCUGGGAAACUGCCCGAUGGAGGGGGAUAACUACUGGAAACGGUGGCUAAUACCGCAUACUAUCGGAUGAACCCAUAUGGGAUUAGCUAGUAGGUGGGGUAACGGCUCACCAAGGCGACGAUCCCUAGCUGGUCUGAGAGGAUGACCAGCCACACUGGAACUGAGACACGGUCCAGACUCCUACGGGAGGCAGCAGUGGGGAAUAUUGCACAAUGGGCGCAAGCCUGAUGCAGCCAUGCCGCGUGUAUGAAGAAGGCCUUAGGGUUGUAAAGUACUUUCAGCGGGGAGGCGUUACCCGCAGAAGAAGCACCGGCUAACUCCGUGCCAGCAGCCGCGGUAAUAC